AGAUUGAGUUUGAAACCUUCAUUUACAUCUAGUAUUUUAGUACUUGUUCUACUUGUUCUUGCUGGUUCUUCGAUUGCUUGCAGGACGAGUGCCCUAGUGGCCGGGUGUUGCGCUUCACAAGAUCGUGACAGCCAUUGGAGGCGGUGUAUCGGUUGCUAAGGCGCGGCCUUAGAAGGCUGUAGUCGGGCCGUGAACGUCAUCUCCAUUCACUAAUCGAGUUAUCCAGCGCCUCUCAUCGAAAGAUCAGGCAAAAACCCUAGUGGGUUCACAUCAGUUGGUAUCAGAGCAAAGUUUAUCGGUGAGAGAUUUCCAAUUCUUUGUGUUUGUUUUUCCUAUAGUCCAAGAAAAGCCAAAAAAUAUAGCAGAUUUGUUUUCCAUAAUCCUAUAAAUCCUUUGUGCCGUGGCUAGUACUACUUAGUUAGGGCUGGUUGAAUGAGUGUUUGCUUCGGUCGUGUCCAGUGCUGGUUUUAGUUUAGUCCUUUAGAGUUUUGAGUUCUUGUCACCAUCUAGUCACAACUGCGUCCAAUCUAUUGUGGGUUGGAAUUUGAGUAGAUCUUGAUAAUAGGUGCAGCCACUUGUUGGUCUAUUCUGCGUUUCCAUCAACGUGAUCCAAAAGGAAAGAUAACACUUCAUACUUGUGCUAGAUAUAUUGAAUUUUGAGGUUCAGCCUUACUCUAGUGAGAGGAUGAGAGUGGUGAAGUGAUAUUUUGUACUAUUUUGUUUAUAUAAUCAGGUUUUGAGGUUCCCCAAAAAAAAAGAGAGAAAAAAAAAUAAGAAAGAAAAAAAAAGAAAGAAAGAAAGAAAAAAAAAGGAAAAAAAAAUCAAAAAAAGGGGAUUGUUGUUCCUUUUGUUUCCAGUAGUGCUGCUCAUUUUGUUUCUAGUGGUGUGCUGUGUUUUUCCUUUGUGUCCAGGCUCGCGUCUCUAGCACGGUCUAGCCUAGGACCAGCACAGUACCAUCGUCGAACGCUUAUUCAGCUCGCUUUUGUAACUAAUAUGGUGCUAGUUCGUUCCUUGUUUCAGCCCACCUAUAGCUCCACAUACUCUACAGCUUGACAGGUCUUGUGCUGCAGCACCGAUACACUUCGUCCAUUGCUGUACACUUGUUGGCAGACGACCCCUCCUGUCAAGCAAGGUAAGAAUUGGUAAGAACUU
rnacentral:lncRNA from 1 species